rnacentral:rRNA from 1 species
UACAGAGGUCCCAAGCGUUGUUCGGAUUCAUUGGGCGUAAAGGGUGCGUAGGUGGCGCGCUAAGUCAGGUGUGAAAUUUCGGAGCUUAACUUCGAAACUGCAUUUGAUACUGGUGUGCUUGAGGACUGGAGAGGAGACUGGAAUUUACGGUGUAGCAGUGAAAUGCGUAGAGAUCGUAAGGAAGACCAGUGGCGAAGGCGGGUAACUAGGAACACUUUGACGCUGAGGGACGAAAGCUAGGGGAGCGAAAGGG